rnacentral:rRNA from 1 species
GCGGGGGGCGGGCUACCAUGCAAGUCGAGCGGAUGAAGGGAGCUUGCUCCCGGAUUCAGCGGCGGACGGGUGAGUAAUGCCUAGGAAUCUGCCUGGUAGUGGGGGAGAACGUUUCGAAAGGAACGCUAAUACCGCAUACGUCCUACGGGAGAAAGCAGGGGACCUUCGGGCCUUGCGCUAUCAGAUGAGCCUAGGUCGGAUUAGCUAGUUGGUGAGGUAAUGGCUCACCAAGGCGACGAUCCGUAACUGGUCUGAGAGGAUGAUCAGUCACACUGGAACUGAGACACGGUCCAGACUCCUACGGGAGGCAGCAGUGGGGAAUAUUGGACAAUGGGCGAAAGCCUGAUCCAGCCAUGCCGCGUGUGUGAAGAAGGUCUUCGGAUUGUAAAGCACUUUAAGUUGGGAGGAAGGGUUGUAGAUUAAUACUCUGCAAUUUUGACGUUACCGACAGAAUAAGCACCGGCUAACUCUGUGCCAGCAGCCGCGGUAAUACAGAGGGUGCAAGCGUUAAUCGGAAUUACUGGGCGUAAAGCGCGCGUAGGUGGUUCGUUAAGUUGGAUGUGAAAUCCCCGGGCUCAACCUGGGAACUGCAUCCAAAACUGGCGAGCUAGAGUAUGGUAGAGGGUGGUGGAAUUUCCUGUGUAGCGGUGAAAUGCGUAGAUAUAGGAAGGAACACCAGUGGCGAAGGCGACCACCUGGACUGAUACUGACACUGAGGUGCGAAAGCGUGGGGAGCAAACAGGAUUAGAUACCCUGGUAGUCCACGCCGUAAACGAUGUCAACUAGCCGUUGGGAGCCUUGAGCUCUUAGUGGCGCAGCUAACGCAUUAAGUUGACCGCCUGGGGAGUACGGCCGCAAGGUUAAAACUCAAAUGAAUUGACGGGGGCCCGCACAAGCGGUGGAGCAUGUGGUUUAAUUCGAAGCAACGCGAAGAACCUUACCAGGCCUUGACAUCCAAUGAACUUUCCAGAGAUGGAUUGGUGCCUUCGGGAACAUUGAGACAGGUGCUGCAUGGCUGUCGUCAGCUCGUGUCGUGAAUGUUGGGUUAAGUCCCGUAACGAGCGCACCCUUGUCUUAGUCCAGCCCGUUUGGUGGGCCUCUAAGGAACUGCCGGGACAACCGAAGAAGGUGG